AGGGAACAGCAACCAGGUGAGAUCAUGACUCUUGGAUGGACAUCUAGCUGACACGAUUGUCAUUUUCACAAGAACACAUACAAAUAAGACUCUGCCAAGAGAGGGGAUUAUUACAUAUUGCAGAGCCCAGCACCUAGGUGGAGUGACUCUCAUCUUUUUCUUCUACCCCGUAUAUAGCCAGCUUGGUGACCUACUAUUUGAGUCUAUACCCAGGCCCAGACCACAGAUGAAAUUGUGCAAUAUGUGGAACAAACACCUAAACAAUAUAUAACACCUUCCUUGGCUCUGUCUACAAAGGGCACUUUUAUAUAUCACUGGGACCAUCAACCAGGUGAUGUUAAUUAUCUUCCUGAAACCUGUCUACAAAGAGAGUUGUGUCGUAUACCUAGGCCCGUCAUGUAAGUGAUGUCAGUCCCUUCUACUGCCUUGGCCCUGCACUUACAGUGCAUUGUGACACAUAACAAGGUACUGCACACAGACGAUGUGAUUCUCCUUUUUGGGUUCUGCCAAAAGGAAGCAUUGUAAUAAAUCGCUUGGCUCAGUA
ensembl:lncRNA LINC00293 long intergenic non-protein coding RNA 293